AAGGCUCGGGCCGGCCCUGACCAUCGGGGCACGACCAAACUCCCAACCUUUGGACAUGAUUAAGUUAUAUCACCUAAUCCAUGUCAAGAAUGAGGAAGCCAGUUGAAAUUGUUCUGGUAGAAGGUGGCAGGAGUGAGGAAAUACAGAGUUGGGAGCAAUCGAUAUUUGCAAAACAAGAAAGUGCAAUAUAUUCAGUCAAAAGAAAACAGUCUUUGCCAGCUUGAUACGGGAACAAAUUUAUUGGCCUGGUUUGUUUGUGACUACGGGAACAAAUUUCUGCAUAUUCUUCAUUAGCUGAGAAGCUGCAAGAAGCUCGCAACUCAUGGCAUUCUAGAUGUUGGGGUUUAAAGGUUGCUAUAUAUCUAUUGUCAGUGAUGGCUCCAUUCAUCAUCCCUUCACGUUUCAUCGAAUUAUAUGAAUUUGAAUAUCUUAAUUUUCUGUCAACUGCCUCCACCAACUGUGAAGUCCUGAAAAUUUGUUGCAUAGAAUGGGAACAAAAGCGGUGGUGGGUGCAGGAACAGGAAGCAUCUUGUUGCAAUAUGUCAAAUGCUGAACCCACAUAAGAUACAUCUGUCCAAUAUGCAUAAGUUUGCAGGCCCACAGAUACAUGCUACACAGUAUAGUUAGCUUAGAAAAGGAUGAUCUGUAGGUAGGUUGUCACUGACAUUUGAUCUCCUAUAGGUUUGUCAUGCUUACAGCCAUGUAUACAUUUUUGUGUUAACAAGAUGCUGAAUGAUAUUAUUUUUAUCGUAUUUAGCUUGGGAUUCAACUUAUGAUUUUGGACUGGCCAAGGAGCCAACCUUAGCUGAUUUUGGACUGGCCGAGGAGCCAACCACCCGAGGUGAAUGACUUCGGCCCUAGCCGAGGAUCCGACCAUCCGAGGUGAGCGACUUUGGCCCCGAUCGAGGAGCCCAUCAAUAUGUGUCAACAAUGACUGACAAUGCUAACAACCGACAGCCCUCGCAGCCUGCCGUCGUGGCAACACCAUAAUCUGCACCCGAUCAGUGCUACAUGCUGACCACACAAACUGAUUCCACACUAUAGCUGUACCACCUGUCGUUACUUGGCUAUCAGUGCAUGCCACGUUAGUUCAGAUAACGACAAAUCCGGCUCGCCUAUAUAAAGGGGGACCUGUGGGACCUCAGAAACUCUCCGGCAAGUAAACUUUUUGCAAGCCAUCCAUGAAGGAGACCGACGCCCGACGCCACCACCAAUCUGGUCAGCUUAUCUCCGGCCGACUUUAGGGUUGUCCGAGCUGAACUCCGAUUUUGGUCCGAA